rnacentral:rRNA from 1 species
UACGUAGGGCGCAAGCGUUGUCCGGAAUUAUUGGGCGUAAAGAGCUCGUAGGCGGCCUGUUACGUCUGCUGUGAAAUCCCGGGGCUUAACCCCGGGCGUGCAGUGGAUACGGGCAGGCUGGAGUCCGGCAGGGGAGACUGGAAUUCCUGGUGUAGCGGUGAAAUGCGCAGAUAUCAGGAGGAACACCGGUGGCGAAGGCGGGUCUCUGGGCAAUAACUGACGCUGAGGAGCGAAAGCGUGGGGAGCGAACAGG